rnacentral:rRNA from 1 species
UACGGGGGGGGCAAGCGUUGUUCGGAAUUACUGGGCGUAAAGGGCUCGUAGGUGGCCAACUAAGUCAGACGUGAAAUCCCUCGGCUUAACCGGGGAACUGCGUCUGAUACUGGAUGGCUUGAGUUUGGGAGAGGGACGCGGAAUUCCAGGUGUAGCGGUGAAAUGCGUAGAUAUCAGGAGGAACACCGAUUGCGAAGGCAGCUCGCUGGAACGUUACUGACGCUGAGACGCGAAAGCGUGGGGAGCAAACAGG